rnacentral:rRNA from 1 species
UACGUAGGGGGCGAGCGUUGUCCGGAGUUACUGGGCGUAAAGGGCAUGCAGGCGGUCGGACGCGUUUUGUGUGACAGCGGGUGGCUCAACUACGCGAGCAUACGAAAGACGGUUUGACUUGAGGGCUCGAGAGGGACACGGAAUUCCGGGUGGAGUGGUGAAAUGCGUAGAUAUCAGGAGGAACACCUGCGGUGUAGACGGCUUUCUGGACCAUUGUUGACGCUGAGACACGAAAGCGUGGGUAGCAAACAGG